CAACACGUGAUGAAGAGAAGAGUAGCAAUUAAUCGUUCUUCUAAAGAGAACUGCCAAGUGGUGAAAGGCGGUAAGAAAGAUAAUUGUGAAGAUGAGCUCUGAAUAAUGAUUGAUGUUGACGCAUCAAUCACGGAAGGAUCCGUUACUAUCCCUGGCAUCAAUAGGUGUCGUUGAGGUAAUUCAUGUAAGUGGGUUACGAAUUUAGGGUGGUAACACGAAAGCUUUCGUCCCUUGA
rnacentral:ncRNA from 1 species